rfam:Pseudomonas fluorescens F113, complete genome.
UGUGGCCGGAACGCUGCGGCAGUCGAUCAUCGCAUGCUGUCGCAGUUGCCUCCCCGCCAUG